UCUUGCUGGAGAUCCCUGUGUAUCUGAGGCCUUCUGAAGCUUUACUGCUGAGACCAUGGUGAAAUUACUCCGAGAUAAAAUUUCAGACUCUUCAAGCCUAUGGCCUGACAGAAUUGGAACUUCCUGAAAUGAAGAAGUCAUCAAGGCUAUCCACAUCUGUGAUAACAUCUGGAAACUGCUUGCCUGCACAUACAUGCAGCUUCUUCACAAGGGAUUGUACCUUGGAGUUAAUAGAGAACGGAAAACUUGGCGGGCCAGUUGGGAUGCUACACCAUAGAAACUAUGCAUCCAUCGUACUGUAGCUGGGACUCAUAACUGAAAUAUCAAGCCUCUGAAGAUUUCUCUAGAUGAAGAUUUAAGAGAUGUUCUAGAAAGCAAUUCAGCCCCUUAAAGUUCUGAAUCUAAAGCAGCUUGGCAAUGAGUUUUUCAGACUGCAGAGGAAGUCUAAAUGUGUGUACAAUAGUAUUUAAAUUCAGAUUAGGAUUGUACUUUUAAUACAUGCUUCCUAUCUGUCUCCUCAUGUUUUGGCUUGUGUAGAACAACCAACCUCGGAGUGGUUUCCAGUGCAUGUUACUUUCUGUGGCAGUGUCUGCCGAAGGUCAUGAUUAUGCUGUUUUCAGUGAUGGAUUAGUUAUCUUUUCAUAUUUCUUUGAAAUAACACCUGACAAAAAAAAGCAACACAGUCACCUGAGCUUGUAACCGUACUUCUGUGAACUUGUGCGGUUGCACUGCUUUAUGGUCCUGAAUUAUUCUAUAGGAAUUCAACAUGUUACUGGUAGAGUGGAAUUUAGCCCUUCAGAAACUACUUUCCAUUUCUGAGCAAAACCCUUUCAUGUUUGCAGAGUUCAAAAUUUCAUGUUGCAUUCCAAUGCAUGCACUUGGGAGAUGUUGUCUGUAUUUCCUCUGUCCUACAUUUUGUCUGAAUGUUUCAAAAAAAGAUUGGGCACCCACCAAACCACCGAACUUGAGCAUUUUCUGCAGAUCUUCUGAGGGCUUUUCACAAGACAGAUACAGGCUGGUUCAUACAGUUGGGUCUGGGUAUAUUUCUGGGUUGGAAUUUAUGAAAAUAUUGCUGCUGUGGAAAUUUUAGGAAAUAAUUAAAGCCCCUUCUCUAGGGAUUGCACUAACUAUGGUCAGUGGACUUGAGCUUAUAGUUUAUUAUAGCCAGGUCUAAUAUAGGAGUUUGCUCUUGGGGUAAACAUGCAUCAAUCUAGAGGCCACUGGGUAGGCACACAAAGUACAUAAACAAGAAGUGAGGAAUCUGUAACUCAGCAUGCUUGAGUUGUAAUAGGGACAGGACUGGAAUAGACUGUUCUCUGAGGUAUGGGGGAAGCUGGAUCAGUAACAGUGUUUUGAGCAAAGCUCUUGUUUUGUGGAAGUUCUUUGGUGAAGAAGCUUUCUUGAACUUGAGACGUUGCAUUGAUUGACAUCAGACUGUUCUCCUGUGUUUGGUAUGCUGUAUGAAUAUUUGCCAAAUGUAUAAUACAAAUGGUAAUUAUACAGAAGAAACAUACUGCAGGAACUUCACCUUCAGGAAUUACUUUGUGUUCUGAGAGAUUUCUUAACUACCUUAAGUUUUGGAUGGUACUUAAUGUUUAAUAUUUAAAAUCACAGAUUUUUCUGGAAGCUUGUAAACAAGUCGAAAUAUUAGUGUGCUUGUGUACUCUUUUUCCUGCUGGAAGAUGUUUGAUAAUUGUGUAGACAGUUUAAAAAUAUUCAAAUAAAAUCAGGUGCAAGUUUUUGAGAACAGUAGCUUUUCGAUCAGGAACCAGACAGCUUAAUGUUUUGUCAAUUAGAUUAGAGUUGAAAUUGUCUGAAUGUGUUUGAUACCAGACAGCUAACCAAAAUUUUUUCCCACUGAAUUGGAUUAAACUGUUGUAAUCAGAGCAAUUACAUGGUGGUUUGUGGCUGGUUUUCUGACUCUUAUUAUUUAAAUAAAUUUUAAGGAAUUUUGUAAGUUUGACCUUUUCUAACAUCAGAGAGCAGCGGGAGAUUGGAAGUAAACGAACUGACUAAAGACAUGUUGAAAUGUCAGAUUUUCUCAAGCAUAUAAUCAGUAUGGAAAAUGGAUUAUAUUAAAGCUGCAGAAGAUCUUUGAAGCUUCUGACAUAAUUCUUUUUUUUUUAAUUUUUAGUGUUUAGUUCACAUCACUUUUGUUUUGUUAUGUUCUAAGUGAAAUCUUGCAAAUUAAGAAAUAGCAUGUGGCAACUGCUGUUCUACGUACCUUGAUACACUGAUGCUUUUGUUCUAAUAACUACUUAUUCUGCUUGCCUGGUAAGGCUUAAAUCAUCUUUCAGAAACAGAAAGGAAAUCCAUAGGAAUGUCUUACAAUUUUUGUGGAUUUAGUUAUCACUUGACUCACAAUGGAAAUAAGGAAGGUAUAGAGGGACUAUAGAUUUGUUUUGAACACUGUAAAAGCAGAGGAAAAGUCAGUGGAGUAUAACAGCAGUUAACUCCUGCUGAUCUUGUAUACAGGAUCAAAAUCGGUACAGAACAGUUCUCUUGUAUUUGCAAAUUAAUAAAGAUCUUAGUCAUAGUUUCAUUUUUGGCCCAGAAAUGGGAAUGAAGCAUUAGCCUAGAAGUCGAGUCAAUAAAAUUUUAUUUUCACUAUAAUCUGUGUUUACUCUGUAUAACAUCUUUCAAUCUUAUUAAGGAUGUGAGUACAAGCUAGCUGUUAAAUACACAUAAAACAUACAUAAAAUGUGUUUUUCUGAAAUUGUAGCAAAAUUUUAUGUAAAACAAAGCAGUAAACUGUACCUUUCUUUGUAUAUAUAUAAAAAAAAAGUGAAGCAGUUUGGGGAGAGCUAGCUUAGUCCUCUUGACAAAAGCUUUAACUUUUUCCUAAAAACAGUCUAUUUUUUCAGAAUAAUUAGCACGUAAACAGUUUUUGUUAGAUUGAGACCCUCAGUUGUUCAAUUCCAAUUUUACAAACAAAAUUCUAAACAAAUAUAUUUUGGUGUACCUACAAUACAUGUAUCUGUGUUGAAAAUAUACCUGUAAAUUGAGAUGCUGUUUGUGACUGAUAGGAACUAAUAAAGCUAAUGAUAACUAAUGAAAAGCAAAGACAUCUCAGUUGUAAUGGACUGUAACUCAAAUGCAGAUCAAAAUUGUACAUGUUGCUUUAACAUAUGGAACAAAUACCUUGCAAUUUGAAAGAACAGGGUGUACGUGAUGCCUGAGAAGAUGUUUCAAGGGAUAACACUUAAAGCAAAACAUCUAUAAGAGAUAGUAGAGUAUAAAUGAAUUUUUGUGAUGGAUGGGACUCCUGUCUGAAAGAACAGAAUAGAGCCUGAACUGAAUUCUUUCUGACCUGAACUUGCCUGCUAUCCUAAUUUGUGUUAUGAAGAAUGCCAGAGCCAAUAUAUCUCCAACAGAGCUUUGCAUGGAAGGGGUGAAUGGGAGCAAAAUUGGUUGAUCACAAUUCUUUUUUUCUUUUUUCUUCUUAACUGCUUAAUUGUACCUUAGCUUUAUAUGCAGUGACUUUUUGUGCUGCCUCUUUCUGAAUGACGAUAGCCUUGUGUACUUAAAGGGUAAUGUCAUUUGAGCUUCACAAAGCACCAAAAAGUCAGCGGUAAAUGUGAACUAGUGCAUUGGCAUAUUGCUAGGACCAAAACAACAAAUCAGAUAUAUAGGAAACAGCUCUUUGUUCUCAGAUAAUAGAAUAUUCUACAUGCCUGGGAGUGACACUAAUAUUUCAGGUUUAAUUUUUAAAUAAAUAGAUUUAAAGACAAAUAACAAAAUACUUCAAGGGAUUUGAGGUCAGUUCAGUAGGUGCAUUCAGUUACUUGCUCUGUCACAUGCUUAAUAAAAAGCAAAAGAACGGAACAGCAACUUAAAGAUAGGGUUAGACAUUCAUAGAUUCCAUGUAAGUGUUUUAAAGCAGAGCAAAACUGAUAUAUGUUGCUGGCCUUUCUAGGGAGGUGUACUGACACCCUGCCAGCACCCAAGCUUUUCUUGUUUUCUGGUGGAUUUUUUUAAUGGAAAAACAGUUGAAAAACUGUUCUCUUACAAAAGUGGGAAAUCAAAGUUCUUAUACAGUCAGUUCUCAGCCUUACUACUUUGCCAUUAGGAAUGGGCCUAAGCCCGCUGAAACCAGAAGUGAAAUUUAGUAUUUACAUCAUAAAUCAGACCAGCUCUUACUAACACACAAACUUUGUAGUUGGCAAAUGCAGACCCUUACCUGUAUUUUCUCAGAUGAUGGAAUGUUUUAUACUCUGCUUCUGAGACAAUUCCAGAGUUUCAUAGUCUAGAACUAUUUGACUGCCUUCUUAAUCAUUGCAUUCUUUGAGUGCUUGAACCAUUUUGAGUGGAGAUGAUUAGGAAACCCAAAUGCAGGUUGCGUAGCUGCCAGGUCUGAUAUGCCAGGAAAGGGAAGGCAGUAACCUGUAGCAUCGGCGGUGCAGCUAGUGAACAGUGUUAGUGUCACGUAGCAGCUGAUGCUGGUCAAGUUGUGCCAUGGCCUUCAUUAGUACUCUGUGUUCAUGUAGAGGGCUCUCCUUUCACUACUGAACUACACUGUGACACAUCUCACCAUGGAGCCCUCAAUGCCUUUGGUCCACUUCAGAAUCUUUGUUACUGAUGGAGGAAGCAUAGUGGCAACAGGGUUAAGAACAGGCUGUAAAGUUAAAUCAAUGUACUCUUUACUAUCAGGUUUAAUUAACUUUAAGGCUGGAAAGCAGAAGCUUAAGGGAAGCUAUGAGAGACCUCCUAGCAGAAUGUGGAAGGCUUAAUGUUUUUUCAGGUCUGAGGACCAAAGUAACAUUGAAGACAGUAGGCA